rnacentral:ribozyme from 1 species
UGCCGAGCAACUCCUAUCCCUACCUCCUCGUAGUACUGGCAGGGGCACGAGGAAAGAUCAGGUAACCAACCCCGGUGUGUACUUUGGUCAUAUGCUGACAGAGAAGG